rnacentral:rRNA from 1 species
AGCAACCCUGACGGAGCAACGCCGCGUGCGGGAUGACGGCCUGUGGGUUGUAAACCGCUUUUCUCAGGGAAGAAAUCUGACGGUACCUGAGGAAUCAGCAUCGGCUAACUCCGUGCCAGCAGCCGCGGUAAUACGGAGGAUGCAAGCGUUAUCCGGAAUUAUUGGGCGUAAAGCGUCCGCAGGCGGCUUAUCAAGUCUGCUGUUAAAGGUCGGGGCUUAACUCCGGUGCGGCAGUGGAAACUGAUAGGCUAGAGUACGGUAGGGGUAGAGGGAAUUCCCAGUGUAGCGGUGAAAUGCGUAGAUAUUGGGAAGAACACCAGUGGCGAAGGCGCUCUACUGGGCCGUAACUGACGCUGAGGGACGAAAGCUAGGGGAGCG